GUUUAUCUAGAUGAAAAGAGUCUUUCAAUAUUAGGUUGAUGCUUCAACUAAGCAUGUCUCUUUUUCAAUCUAUAGCGGAUAUCAUCUGACACUACUUUCCUACUAACAGCGACCCAGACCAGCGCCAUGCAACGAGCGUGUCCCCCUACCCCGACCUUCAACUUGAGCGGCAGAUCCCACCACGACUUGGUGGCACCGCUGGUGGAACCGGCGUCCCUAAGCGAGCAAUCGUCCAGAUGGCCGUCACGUUUCCGCCCAGCAGAGAGGAAGAAAGGAGCUGAUUGCAGGGCACUAAAAUAUGUCUUCGCUGCCAAAGCUUUGUGAUCGCUUACACAGUUACACACGUAUAUUAUCCAUGUAGUAUGGGUUAUCUGGGAUCAAUUACAACAUGGCACUAGGAUAUUGUUCAUAAAGGUGGCAUAAUUUGUCAAUUUAAUAUACUUCCAUCUCAUUGUUGAUUUACUCAUGCUAUUUUAAUGACGAUGACAUCAAUGCCAGUUCAUGGCUAUGCAAGGCAUCAGUGCUUGAUGAUAUAGUGAUGUGUUACUCAUUGGGGCCUUAAUUUGCAGCAGAAGAAGAUGCAAUAAACUCUGAAAACUAGAUUAUUUUUGCUCAUAUGACACAAAGGCAAUGGGAAUUUUUUUGAGGGUGUCGAUCAUGCUUGCCUUCCCUUGAGCUCCAGCUAUUCAUGCUACUGCAUAUAAUAUCCA